rnacentral:rRNA from 1 species
UACGGAGGGGGCUAGCGUUGUUCGGAAUUACUGGGCGUAAAGCGCACGUAGGCGGCUUUGUAAGUUAGAGGUGAAAGCCCAGGGCUUAACCCUGGAAUUGCCUUUAAGACUGCAUCGCUAGAAUCGUGGAGAGGUGAGUGGAAUUCCGAGUGUAGAGGUGAAAUUCGUAGAUAUUCGGAAGAACACCAGUGGCGAAGGCGGCUCUCUGGACCGAGACUGACGCUGAGGCGCGAAAAGCGUGGGGAGCAAACAGG